GGAUUUGAAAUACCAGAGAAACGUAAAAUGAGAAAGGUGUGGCUGUACAAAUCAUCUGGAAAGUUAAGGCAAACAAGACGUGGAAAUAUCCUUGGAUAACUCAAGAUGAUUGGGAGAAUUUCACAAAAUAUUGUACUAGUCCCGAGUUUCAGGAGCAAAGUAAAAUAAAUCAAGAGAAGUCAUUGAAAAAGAAUACGAGCUAUCGAGGAGGACGACGAGGAUAUAUAUAUUUUGAAGAAGAGAUUAAAAAGGAACUUGAGAAGAAAGGGAUUCAUGUCACACAAGUCCCUCGACAUUUAGUUUGGCUCAAAGCUCAUGCAACUGAAAAGGAUGGAGUGAUGAUGUUUAAGAAUCCUACCGAUCUGGAAAUUGCAGAAGCAAUUGUAAGUAUCUACACGAUUAUCACUUGUAGAAUUAGUAAAAUAUAAGUGGAAAAGAGUGCUCUACCUGUGAACUGUCUCUCCUCCUCGCUUAUUUUCCCCAUAUAGUCCUACUGUGAUGGCCUGUUGGGUCCUUGCUGUAUUAAAUAUCAAGCACUUAAUUGUGCAUGCAAUCAGAGCCCCAAAAUUUAUGCAUAAACAUUAUAAAGAUUUUCCAGUUUACUGUGGGAUUUCUCUGUUCCAUUCAUCAAUUGGCUAAUAAAGCUUCAGUAGCUAUUA